AUUUUUAUGUUAUUUUAAAUAAAACUUUUUAUUGUAUAUGUGCGUUGUAAUCACACCUGUUCGAGUGUUUUCGACAAAGGUUAAGAUGCCACUUUUUUUCUAUUAUAGCGUAUGGAGAAAGUGGCAUCUUAACCUCCUUUUGCACGUUAUAAACAUACGUAUAUAUACAUAGUCGAUUACGCGACUUAAUUAGUGGGCCCAUCGUCAUUAAGUUUCGACUGGAAUCUCUCCUCUCGGGCCUUGUUUCUAAUCGAUAGCCAUGAUUAAGAAACGGUGUUAUUACCCGUGAAAAAUCGCAGGCAAUUCGAAAUCGGACGUAUGAGGUCUUAACUUCGUGCCAAACAAUAUCGUCCAAUUUUAAGCAAAAUGGCUGGAAUUACUCGACUUUUAAGUAUCGCUCGUGAUUACCGGUAUCAAUUACAGCUUUCCAUUUCACGCGAAUUACACGCUAAGCUAAUUACCCCCCUCAGGCAAACUCUUCGACGCUUAGAUUCUGCGCAUAUAAGCGUGUGGCAUUAAAGUCUGGUGACGAAUCGAAAGGAGUAAAACAACCCUCGACCUUUAUCCUUGUUUUGACUCGCAAGUCCGAGUCUUAUUUAUAAGGUUAUCUCUCUUUAGUUGCAGGUAAUGUUUGUAAUUCACGUACAGGAGCGCCCGCACACCGCCCCCUACUCGCAAUUAUGAGAUGUUCAUCCCCAGAGAUUAGAGAGAUUUUUUUUUUACUUUUUUUUCCAACCCGGUCUGACACGAUUCUGAUCAAAGAGUGCGAAUAACCUAUAGGUUAAUAUCAAAAUGACAUAAGCAUGCAUAACUAGAGCUUAUCGCUGAAGUUAUGCAGCUUAUCGGUCAUUCUUUGUCGUCGGCAUUAAAGUUUUGAAUUGUUGCAUUUUACUGUGGUACCUGCAGACGAAAAUAAUGUCGGGUAUAAGUGCACGAUUUAUCUCUGGCCAAGGCUAUUUUUCCCUCCUGUUCCCUUCGAGUUAACUAGUAAAAAUAAUAUGGAAUUCGAGAUUUGAAUCCUCCGUUACUGGUUUUAUAAUGCCUUAAAUUUUGGAAAAAACAAAAAAGACAAAUCGGAAUUUUCGUAAUGGCGACUAUUAACGCGCCAGUGGUGUAAAUUUACCAUAGGAGAUUCAAAUUUCCUCAAUUACUAAAGACGAAUCCACACCCGAAUCUCUCAAUACCCUUCUCUUGCUCUCGGUUAACCCUAAAUAAUAUUUUACCUCACAAGUCACGAGGCACAUCACACGUGACCAUCAAAAUACCGAACCAGGUGCAAAUCCCAAUCACGCCGAAGGAGUAGAUAAUGAGAUCUAUGAACUGUUCAGCCACACCUUCCACCGACGGGGUCAGAGGUCAAAUCCGAACGUCCACCCCGUCCGGUUGGUAAAAACGGUGGAACAAGACGGAUUGAGUGAUCUAUGACCCCAAGCCAUCGGGCCGCUCCCCCUUAGCCAGUCACUUGGUCCUAAAUAGUCUAUUUACUCCACCGGAUAUUAUAUACAUAUAAAGGAUGCCUCACGUAUAGAUGGGGCGGGAAUUAGCCCCUCCCCCCUCUAGGGAGUCAUUUGUCAAACCCCACCCGAAUAUGAAGUCGGACUUCUACCGCCUACGCUGUUUCUGCUCAUCUGGGAUAAGGUAAGCUUCACUCGGAAUAUAUGCAAACGCCAAAUUAUCUAAUUUACUCUUCGUCGACUCCAAAGAUUCGAGUUUUGUACGCGAUACUUCUCCGGUGAGACAGACUGACCUACUUUCCCUCUAAAACCGACAAGUGGUUUUGGCACAGUAUCGGUUUUUCCCCCUCCCCAACGAAAUUCCGAUUGAAAAAUGUCGAAGGCGAUCGGGUGACGUCACCUAUCGGAAUUUCUUUUUUUUGUUCUGUGGCGGAAUGGUUGGACCGUCGUCGUGGUCGUCGUCAUCAACAUACUUUCGAAACGACGUCAUCCGAAAAUGGGCCAAUAAGAAAUGGGGAGGUGCAACUCCGUGAUGCGAAGGCGCUGUCGGUUGAGACAGAUGGCGUCACGAUCGCAAACGGACAGGAUCCACCCGGAGACUAAUCGUAGAAAGAGAUCACGAGGUCAAAAUCUUUAUACGUUUGUUGCUCCACUAUAUUCCACCAGUAACAUUCGCAUGCGUGGCAAAAAGAGAUACAGGCCUUCAAAACAAAAGAAGUUUUAAUCAGCGAGAAGAUACGAUGAUAAUGAUGACAGCUCGGAGAGGGGAAAAACUAGAUCCUCCCCCUCGAAUUCCUGUUAUUGCAAAGAAUCCACGCUAUUUAGUAGCAGAAGGAAAUUAAUUAUGCAAGCAGAGGUAGGAAUUAAUAAAAAGAAAACGAAACAUUGCCUGCAUCAGACGGAUCUGGGUUUCUCCAAAGUUCACUAUUCUGCAUCAGUAGUUCCACUUAUCCAUCUUGCCGUAUUUAUUUAACUAUCGAAGAAAGAGCAUCGAUAACCAAACAGUUUGAUCCCCACAUUAAUCAUCAGAGCAAAUAUUAAAAAAAAAAGGCAUAAAUCUAACAUCCUCAUCUUGGACGUUCACGCAAUAUACGAUCUACAGAAGAUUUACUGCUAUACGUUAAAAAAAAAAAUGUGAUAAAGUUGCUUCGGUAACAAUUUUGCAUUUUGUUUCUUAGCAGAAAACAUAAAAAAAAAAUCGGAAAAGGGGAGAUCAAGAGGACAUUCGGACGUCCUAUCGUAAACAUGGCAGGAAGAGGGAGUUUCCCCGCCAACUUUGAGUAAAUAAGAGGGAAAAUUGUUGACUUUGAUGCGUCGGAAUCGCAAACACGUUCCUUUCACGCUGAGCGCGUGAGAGAACAGGCUCUCACGCAUAUUCACGAUCCGCUCGGAAACUUGGACCGUUCCGUCAGUCCCUACACGCAAUCGUUUGAUUAAAUUCGCCACUUUAAUCGUUGGUAAACUCGGGUGUAGGUAGCCGCAGCGUCACCUGGUUAGUUACGGUUACUCCCCGGUCGAUCGUCGACUUUCAGUUAAUGUGGCCCAGCCAGCGCGUGCACGGCUGGACGGGAAAAGCGCCACCUGUCGCUUCGUAACAGUGACACCGGCAGACGUUUAAGCGCUCAAUGACGAGUGAAUCCCGUAAAGUUGGUCUGCUCGCCGAUUCUACUAACUUUGAACAAUUGAUAGAAGCUUCCUCUUCCCCGCCACACUAUUCCCAAACAACGUAAAUUAUCAUGGAGCGCAAACCGUUUAAAUCGUCAAAAAUUUUCCUGCGUUGUAAAAAAAGAGGAGCGUAAUGCAGAACCAACCAAAAAUCUAAAACCGAUCGGAUUACUCCAUAAUAAUGGAGCAAAAACGAUUUCUGUCUCUUCCUCUCUACAAGAAUGUCGACACGUGUCCAAGCUAGAUCCUUGCCCCUUUUGCCCCUCUAUCUCUUAAAACAUGGAACUAUCUUCGUGCUCUAGAGGAUUUUUAUUGGUCAUUGUUUAUUUUAAUCCUCGACUAGGCAGAAUAAAAACAAAGUAUAUGCAGCCAUCAGUGCAUAAAUGAAUAUUAAGUUGUCGGGCAGAGCCCACCACUGUUAUCUUAUGCAGCACUUUUCAAAAUUUCCAGUGCGUUUUACUUAAAUUAACUUUAUUAAUGGUUAACGAAAGUAUGCCGAAGCGUUUAUUUAGGCAUAUUUGCCCCGAUAAUCCAUAGCUUCAGGGGUCAAAUUGGGAUAGAAGCGACGCCCGACAGUCAUCGUUGAAAAACUGGUAUUUCGGGGGCUUCGCAUCAAUAGAGCCGAGUCGAAGCUUCCUCUUUUCUAAUUAACUGCGCAUGUCCGCUUCCGAAGUUUCCGUUUUUCUCCGCCAGGAUCGCUGUUUUGUGGCUAAUGAGUUCUUUCGUGAUUCCCGUCACAACGCUGACCUGUCGGUUGUGACAUGGAAUGAAAAAUGAAUGGUGGGAGGUAGAAGGAUGCUGUUGAUCAUUUAUAAUUUGUCUCAACUGCUUCGAUUGCGGCCGAAGAAUUGGAAGAGAGGGAGGAUUUCCCUUAAGGGCUAGGGAAUGGGGAAUUGUUAUGCGGAGAUCAUUGCCUAAGUUUAUUAAUUGUUUCGAGUCCUUCAUUUGCAUCUCUCUUUCGGGAGAUAUACCAGAUUUCCUUUCUGACAAUCGAGUUGUGAUUGGCUCCAGUACAUCGAGUUUAACUGCGGAAUCUUUGUAGCCACCACGCGAUUUAUGUAAAUUUUUCCAGUUUGGGGUCUAAAAUAAGAAUUCGGAAAAAGUAGAACGUUUAGAAACGAUGGUUACAGCAAUUCUCUCUGAUGUCCCGCCUCGGUCCCAUUUUAGACAGGAAGUCUCGGUUUUCGUAAAUAAAGCAUCCCAAAUUAGUCGGAUCCAUAUUUAAAAGUAUGGCGAACGCCAGUUAGAUUAUUAAUAAAAUUUACAUUUUUUUAAUUUUUUUUUUUUUUUUUUUUGAAAACGAUGUCGAUGGCAG
rnacentral:lncRNA from 1 species